GUAGCCUACGGGACGCAGCAGUGAGGAAUAUUGGUCAAUGGACGAGAGUCUGAACCAGCCAAGUAGCGUGAAGGAUGACUGCCCUAUGGGUUGUAAACCUCUUUUGUCGGGGAGCAAAGAGAGUCACGUGUGACUCAUUGAGAGUACCCGAAGAAAAAGCAUCGGCUAACUCCGUGCCAGCAGCCGCGGUAAUACGGAGGAUGCGAGCGUUAUCCGGAUUUAUUGGGUUUAAAGGGUGCGCAGGCGGUCUGUUAAGUCAGCGGUCAAAGCCCGGGGCUCAACCCCGGCCCGCCGUUGAAACUGGG
rnacentral:rRNA from 1 species